AUAGUUUAGCGUAGGGUCUGUGAGGGUGGCAUUUGCAUCACUCAGGCAGGGCCUGCUGAUGUAUUUAGCCAUACUGAGGUUUUCUUUUGCAUUUAUAACACCUUAGGACAGGUUUUCAAAUGUUAGUAAGAUCACAGCUAGAUUAAUCCUUGACAUCCCAUAUAUUUUUUCUUUCCAUAUCAAUUAAUGAUUGCUCUAUGACACAUUAAAAUGAGUCUUUAAUUCACUGACAAAUAUUUUGUGGUUUGUGAGUUGCAGGCAUCGGAUUUGCCAUUAACAAUGGAUGCUGAAGAGUUUGAUGCCAUGAUCAAGCAGAGGAUCAAGGGGGGAACAUAUGCCUCGGCGCCAAGACUUUGUACCGGCUUCAAUCUUGAGUAAAGCUGUUAGAAAAAACGCUGGCCAAGGAGACUCAAGUAUACACUAAAGCAUCAAAGUGCAAAG